UACGUAGGGGGCAAGCGUUGUCCGGAUUUAUUGGGCGUAAAGAGCUCGUAGGCGGUCUGUUACGUCUGCUGUGAAAACCCUGGGCUUAACCCUGGGCUUGCAGUGGAUACGGGCAGACUAGAGGCAGGUAGGGGAGAAUGGAAUUCCCGGUGUAGCGGUGAAAUGCGCAGAUAUCAGGAAGAACACCAAUGGCGAAAGCAGCUUUCUGGGACGGUACUGACGCUGAGACGCGAAAGCGUGGGGAGCGAACAGG
rnacentral:rRNA from 1 species